rnacentral:rRNA from 1 species
UUAAGCGACUAAGCGUACACGGUGGAUGCCCUGGCAGUCAGAGGCGAUGAAGGACGUGCUAAUCUGCGAUAAGCGCCGGUAAGGUGAUAUGAACCGUUAUAACCGGCGAUUUCCGAAUGGGGAAACCCAGUGUGAUUCGUCACACUAUCAUUAACUGAAUCCAUAGGUUAAUGAGGCGAACCGGGGGAACUGAAACAUCUAAGUACCCCGAGGAAAAGAAAUCAACCGAGAUUCCCCCAGUAGCGGCGAGCGAACGGGGAGGAGCCCAGAGCCUGAAUCAGCAUGUGUGUUAGUGGAAGCGUCUGGAAAGGUGCGCGAUACAGGGUGACAGCCCCGUACACAAAAGCGCAUGUGCUGUGAGCUCGAUGAGUAGGGCGGGACACGUGGUAUCCUGUCUGAAUAUGGGGGGACCAUCCUCCAAGGCUAAAUACUCCUGACUGACCGAUAGUGAACCAGUACCGUGAGGGAAAGGCGAAAAGAACCCCGGCGAGGGGAGUGAAAAAGAACCUGAAACCGUGUACGUACAAGCAGUGGGAGCACCCUUCGGGGUGUGACUGCGUACCUUUUGUAUAAUGGGUCAGCGACUUAUAUUCUGUAGCAAGGUUAACCGUAUAGGGGAGCCGGAGGGAAACCGAGUCUUAACCGGGCGUUAAGUUGCAGGGUAUAGACCCGAAACCCGGUGAUCUAGCCAUGGGCAGGUUGAAGGUUGGGUAACACUAACUGGAGGACCGAACCGACUAAUGUUGAAAAAUUAGCGGAUGACCUGUGGCUGGGGGUGAAAGGCCAAUCAAACCGGGAGAUAGCUGGUUCUCCCCGAAAGCUAUUUAGGUAGCGCCUCGUGAAUUCAUCUCCGGGGGUAGAGCACUGUUUCGGCUAGGGGGCCAUCCCGGCUUACCAACCCGAUGCAAACUGCGAAUACCGGAGAAUGUUAUCACGGGAGACACACGGCGGGUGCUAACGUCCGUCGUGAAGAGGGAAACAACCCAGACCGCCAGCUAAGGUCCCAAAGUCAUGGUUAAGUGGGAAACGAUGUGGGAAGGCCCAGACAGCCAGGAUGUUGGCUUAGAAGCAGCCAUCAUUUAAAGAAAGCGUAAUAGCUCACUGGUCGAGUCGGCCUGCGCGGAAGAUGUAACGGGGCUAAACCAUGCACCGAAGCUGCGGCAGCGAACGUAUCACUUAAAGCGAUUCAGCGGGUUACGAUUGACGGAGCGAAGCGACGUCAAAGCGUAUACAAAGUCGAGUCGGUUUAAGGAUACGUUCGUUGGGUAGGGGAGCGUUCUGUAAGCCCGUGAAGGUGGCCUGUGAGGGUUGCUGGAGGUAUCAGAAGUGCGAAUGCUGACAUAAGUAACGAUAAAGCGGGUGAAAAGCCCGCUCGCCGGAAGACCAAGGGUUCCUGUCCAACGUUAAUCGGGGCAGGGUGAGUCGACCCCUAAGGCGAGGCCGAAAGGCGUAGUCGAUGGGAAACGGGUUAAUAUUCCCGUACUUGGUGUUACUGCGAAGGGGGGACGGAGAAGGCUAUGUUGGCCGGGCGACGGUUGUCCCGGUUUAAGCGUGUAGGUGUGUGUUCCAGGUAAAUCCGGUUCACUUUAACACUGAGGCGUGACGACGAGGCACUACGGUGCUGAAGCAACAAAUGCCCUGCUUCCAGGAAAAGCCUCUAAGCAUCAGGUAACACGAAAUCGUACCCCAAACCGACACAGGUGGUCAGGUAGAGAAUACCAAGGCGCUUGAGAGAACUCGGGUGAAGGAACUAGGCAAAAUGGUGCCGUAACUUCGGGAGAAGGCACGCUGACACGUAGGUGAAGUGAUUUACUCAUGGAGCUGAAGUCAGUCGAAGAUACCAGCUGGCUGCAACUGUUUAUUAAAAACACAGCACUGUGCAAACACGAAAGUGGACGUAUACGGUGUGACGCCUGCCCGGUGCCGGAAGGUUAAUUGAUGGGGUCAGCGUAAGCGAAGCUCCUGAUCGAAGCCCCGGUAAACGGCGGCCGUAACUAUAACGGUCCUAAGGUAGCGAAAUUCCUUGUCGGGUAAGUUCCGACCUGCACGAAUGGCGUAAUGAUGGCCAGGCUGUCUCCACCCGAGACUCAGUGAAAUUGAACUCGCUGUGAAGAUGCAGUGUACCCGCGGCAAGACGGAAAGACCCCGUGAACCUUUACUAUAGCUUGACACUGAACAUUGAGCCUUGAUGUGUAGGAUAGGUGGGAGGCUUUGAAGUGUGGACGCCAGUCUGCAUGGAGCCGACCUUGAAAUACCACCCUUUAAUGUUUGAUGUUCUAACGUGGACCCGUAAUCCGGGUUGCGGACAGUGUCUGGUGGGUAGUUUGACUGGGGCGGUCUCCUCCUAAAGAGUAACGGAGGAGCACGAAGGUUGGCUAAUCCUGGUCGGACAUCAGGAGGUUAGUGCAAUGGCAUAAGCCAGCUUGACUGCGAGCGUGACGGCGCGAGCAGGUGCGAAAGCAGGUCAUAGUGAUCCGGUGGUUCUGAAUGGAAGGGCCAUCGCUCAACGGAUAAAAGGUACUCCGGGGAUAACAGGCUGAUACCGCCCAAGAGUUCAUAUCGACGGCGGUGUUUGGCACCUCGAUGUCGGCUCAUCACAUCCUGGGGCUGAAGUAGGUCCCAAGGGUAUGGCUGUUCGCCAUUUAAAGUGGUACGCGAGCUGGGUUUAGAACGUCGUGAGACAGUUCGGUCCCUAUCUGCCGUGGGCGCUGGAGAACUGAGGGGGGCUGCUCCUAGUACGAGAGGACCGGAGUGGACGCAUCACUGGUGUUCGGGUUGUCAUGCCAAUGGCACUGCCCGGUAGCUAAAUGCGGAAGAGAUAAGUGCUGAAAGCAUCUAAGCACGAAACUUGCCCCGAGAUGAGUUCUCCCUGAGACUUAGAGUCUCCUGAAGGAACGUUGAAGACGACGACGUUGAUAGGCCGGGUGUGUAAGCGCAGCGAUGCGUUGAGCUAACCGGUACUAAUGAACCGUGAGGCUUAACCUU